GACGAACCACACAAACGUUAUUCGGAAUUACUGGGCUUAAAGGGUGCGUAGGCGGCGCGGAAAGUUGGGUGUGAAAUCCCUCGGCUCAACCGAGGAACUGCGCCCAAAACUACCGUGCUCGAGGGAGAUAGAGGUGAGCGGAACUUAGGGUGGAGCGGUGAAAUGCGUCGAUAUCCUAAGGAACACCCGUGGCGAAAGCGGCUCACUGGGUCUUCUCUGACGCUGAGGCACGAAAGCUAGGGUAGCGAACGGG
rnacentral:rRNA from 1 species